rnacentral:lncRNA from 1 species
CACUGGGGUGGAAUUUGAGGUUUCAGAGGCUUAAACUGGGCCCAGUGUCUCUCUUUCUUCCUGCUGCCUGAGGAUCCAGAUUCAGAUGUACAACUCUUGGCUCCUUCUCCAGCACCAUGUCUGUUUGCAAACGGCCAUGCUUCCUGCCAUAAUGACAAUGGUUUGAACCUCGGAACUAACCUGAAUGUUACAUGGAAUACAGGAGGGAUCCAGUAAAUACUCAGAAUGUCACCUGAUUGAAAUCCACAAAUCUAUGCUUCUUUCUCCUUGGAACCCUUGCAGCUCAUCACUACCCUUUUCAUCACUCAUGGACAUGAAGCAAGCAUGUAGACCUCUCAACACCAACCUCUUUCCUGCAAGAAUUGCCCCCUGAUUGUGAGAGAGAUUAUUCGUGGGGAAUUGGCACGGUGGCUCUAUAACUUUCUUUUGUUCUUCACCAGUGAUCUGGAAGGUUUCCAGAGAAAAGUCUCUUUCUUUCCACCUCGGUGAAUUCAAGCAGGGUUGUUGCUGCCCUUCUUGCCUGGAAGACAUUGUCACAGAAUUUUGGAAGAGUCCUGCUUGCUCCACCACAAGGCAACUUCUCUCAUUCAUACUUGUGUUUCCUGUGAGAACCAGUGCAAUGGGGGGGGGGUUAUUCCCUGAGGGGGGCUUUAUCAAUAUCUCUUCCAAUAUUUAUAUGAUGGCUGGCAGAUGCAAUGUUGAGCAGCCCAGGUUUCUUGCACAUUGUAGUGUGGCCACGAUGCCCUGUGACUAACUUGUACAAGUUCAGGGUGAAGUCAAGCUGCCUCCAAAGGCGCCCAUGUUCCUAGGAUAUGUGAGACCUCUGCCCCUUGUUUUUCUGUUGUUUGUGGUGCUGAGGAUUGAACUCAGGGACUUGGGAAUGCUAGACAGUGCUCAGGGCUGUGCCACAGAGCUGCAUCCCCAGCUCUGUGGGAGAGCAGUCUUAAUGGCAAAUAAUUCCACACAGUGAGCAGUGCAAUGGCUUUGCACAUUUUUAUAGAGACAGCAAGAUGUUUUGUGUACUACAGUGAUGGUUGCAAAGUAGCUUUGGGGUGACUGGUUUAGUGUUAUCUCAAGUAAUUUAAUUUCUUUAAAUGAGUCUUUUUACCCUAAGCCUCCAUAUUAGCAUGCCAAAGGUGGAUAACCACUGGUCCUGAUUCAUUGUCCCAUGAUUACUGAUGUAACCAUUCAUUCAUAAGUAUUUGUCACACCUCUGCAACCUAAUAGAGGCAAACUAUACACACAAACCGGAGCUCUCAACCGUGAGGAACUCACAGUCUGCUGAGGGAGUCAGGAGUUCUACACACAAUGUCCUAUGCUGGUUUUAAAACAUGCACCGUGAGCUCUGAGUGCCCAGAUGGAGGAUAGGAGAGGUCUCAAUUCAAACUGAAUAGAGGGUUUCAAGAUAUUCACUGGAAAGGGUUUCUCAGGGUCGAAGUGACUGGAGAGGAGGUAGGGAGAUGAAGUGAGAGGAGGUGAUGGAUUCCUGCCCUCAUCCUCUCCACUUGUCAGUUAAGCUUCAAAGUUGUCCAGGUUCUGCCACCUGUCAACUAAAAUUUAACUGAGAGAAAUCUCUCAUCAAGAGGUUAAUUGUGGCACAGAGUCUCAUUUCCGAGGCUGGGGCGACCCAGCACCGGUGCAGACUGUUUCCUUUCCAGCAUCUGGAGUGUACUGCCUGUUAGAAAAAUACAGAUAUUUGCAAUUGUGUCAUUUCUAGUCCCUAGCUUCUUCCUUCACAGGGGCUCUCUCUGUAUUUAAAAUCUCUUGGCUUUUCAGAGCUUGUCCAGAUGGACCCAGAGCACCUCCAUCUCCCUUGGGCCCUCAUCUCCCUGGCACACCAGGCCCAAGCUGAAGAAGGGGAGAAGAGGAGGGGAGAAGAGGGCAUGAGAGAGCAGGAAGAUUGACUCAGGGGAAGAAUAGAGGAGAACAAGAAAAGAGUAUAAGAGAAGGAGCCAUUAUAGGUUUAAAGAGAAAUCUGGCACUAGGUAAAGUCCAGAGAUCUACAAGGAUGACCCCCCCAACUAACAACUUAAGCAAUAGUGGAGAGGCUACCUUAAAUGCCCGUCCCUGAUAAUGAGAUGGAUGACUACCUUAUAUGCCAUCCUAGAGCCUUCAUCCAGCAGCUGAUGGAAGCAGAAGCAGACACUCACAGCUAAACACUGAACUGAACUCCUGAAAUCCAGUUGCAGAGAGAGAGAGAGAGCAGUGAUGAGCAAAGGGGUCAAGACCAGGCUGGAGAAACUCACAGAAACAGCUGACCUGAACAAGGUGGGGGGCUCCUGGACUACAGACUGAUAGCUGGGAAACCAGCAUAGGACUGAUCUAGACCCCAUGAAUGUGGGUGUUUUGAGGUCUAGACAACCUAGGGGGCCACUGGUAGUGGAUCAGUAUUUACCCCUAGUACAUGAAUGAACUUUGGGAGCCUUCUCCACAUAGAGGGCUAGACACAUGGGAGAGGGUCUAGGCCCUGCUCCAAAUGGUGACAGACUUUGAAGAUCCCCCAUGGAAUGCCUCACCCUCCCUGGGGAGCAGAAAGGGAGUGGGAUAGGGGGUCGGUUUGGGGGAGCAGGAGAGGAGGGGAAGGAGAGGGAACUGGGAUUGACAUGUAAAACAAGCUUGUUUCUAAUUUCAAUUUUAAAAAAGAAAGAGAAAAAAAUUGCCCUCUUUCCUGCUGUCAGUCAUUUAUUUAUAUUCUCAAGAUUCUGUGUCCUUAAAACUUGCUCUGCUUGUUGGUUUCAGGUGACUCAUCCUUGCCCAGGGCAGACUCUGCUCCUGCCCCAGUCACCUGUCAGCCCACUAAUUGAUACAUUAUUCUUUUUCCCAUGGAUAGUUGUUGAAUUUGAGUCUUAUGCUUAUAUCUUUUUUCACAUUUUUAAAGAGCUUAAUUGUAUGUGGAUGAGUGCUUUGCCUGCAUGUGUGCUUGUAUGUAUGUGCACCACAUAUGUGCCUGCUGCCCAUGCAGGUCAGAAGACGGAGUAAGACCCCCUGGAACUCGAGUUAUAAGCAACCAUGGGGGUGCUAGGAACUGAAUGUAUACUGAGCCAUCUCUCCAGCCCAGCGUUGGUAUUUUUUUGUUUGUUUUCUUCAUUUAG